UGGCUCCUUGCAUUCCCUAGAUCCUUCUCAGGACUCCUGAGCUCUCUGCAGAGGAACGUGGUGGCCUGGGAAGGUGCACGUGUUGGAACAAAAGAGCCACAAGAGGAGUAGGGAUCAGGGUCAGACCUGGUGACAGGUCUAGACUGGAAUCAGUGCUCAGUGGACCCAAGGAUCUUCCCAGAAUUCAUUAGCAUCAUCCCCACCACAGCCGUAAUGUUUUCGCUAAUAUUAUUUCUUAUCAGCUGUAAAAAUCACCAUUGCACCACUGCAAGAAAAAGAAACCGAGGCACGUUCAAGAUCCUGUCUGAAGAUAUCCCUCAGUAAUGGUGGAGCAGGGGAGAGCCCGGCAGGCUGAUUUCGGGGCCUGAGAAUACAGAUAUUAUGCUUUCAUUUAAAAUGCUGCAUUAUCAAGUGCUCCAGUCUCACCCACUCAGAAAAAAUGAAACCAUCAAUGCCAGGGACAGCAUACUGACCAGGCAGGAGGCAGAGGCUCGGCCUUUGACAUACUUUCUCCCUCUGCUCACCCUGCUGGCCUGGCCACUGUUCUCUGUGCCAGCAGACUGGAGGAAAAUUUUCCAAGCGGGAAGAGAGAUCGAUGUUCUGCAGGGGAAGUUCAAGCAUCUCCUUCCCUUCCCUGCUGUAAGACUGGCAGAUCCCCUUUCCUGGGGGCUUUCGGUAGAGGUGGGACAAUUAGGAGGACCUGAGCCUAAUCCCUUGGCCACAACAGGUGCCAGACAGGUCCCGUGGGUUCAGGGAGGCUGAGGCAGGCAGGCUCCCACAAGAGGGCAGUCGCUGUGUGGGGCAGACCCCUGGCAACUCAAGCUCUGAAGUUGUCUUUCGAGCCUAUGUGUGCCAGCCUUACCCUGCUCCUGGGCUCCUCGCAGGCAGGGGCUGAGCCUUUUCAAUUUGAUUCUCUCUGUAUCUAGCCUAGUGCUUGGAACCUAAUAAGCAGGAA